AAAUCAUAGCUGAGUUCCCAUAAACAUAUAUGGAAAUCACCUGAAGGUGCCCAUGACUUCAGUGGAAGGUCUUAGAAAUAGGGAAGCAGAAGGAGCAACAAACAGGUCCACCUCCACAGCAGAAGUGAGGCAUCCAUUUCCCAUAGAUACCUCAGAUAGAACCUUCAUUCUGAAGGAUCCCCAAGACCAAUCCAGACCACACAGCUUAAAUGGGGUGUGGGGGAACUUUCACAGCAAGAAGAUUUGCUAAAAGCCAUUAUUUUAUUCAGGUCACUGUCAAACAAGACAGGUCCCAGGACAGAUGCUGGAGUAUUGCACUUGUUUUAUGCCUAUGAGUGCCUGGGAUCAAAGAGGAUGUACAACUUGAAGGAACUCAGCGGAGCUGGAGUCCUUUGCAAACUUCAAUGGCCCUUAGCCAACAGUGGAUUAGCAGAGGAUGCUGAAGGUACAGUAUAGGAAAAUGGGAAUUACAGAAUCCCAAACCAGGACUCCUCCACACAGGGGAAGUUUCCCUGUAAUGACAUGGACCAGUUGAAACCUGUUCAUGAUGCUCUCCAGCCAGCCAGCCUUCCUUCCUCCCUGCCCUGAUAUCCCCUGCUCUGCUGCCUCAUCCCUUCUUUCUCAAAGGGCAGAGAACUGUUGGGGUCCCUUGGAAAAUGGGAUUCAAAUACAAAAUCCUAUGAAAAUCAUGAAGAGCUGAACACAUGCAAAGGGACCUGGUGCUUACACUGCUCCCCGCUCUGCCAUGGCCAGUUCUUCAAACACAAAGCCUGCAGAACAGAGCUGAUUAAAAUGGCAACUGGAAACACACAAAACAGAAGCUGUCACCCAACAGUCUGUCUGUUAAUGAGAAAGUAACAUUUGUUAGAAGUUUCUAAACUUGACCUUGUCGGCAUCAGAUUGAAGGAAGAGGAUACAAAACUGGAAUAGCUGCUGGCAUUAGGAGCUGAUUGUCAGCUGAAUUCAGUGUCAGAAGGGCUUGCAGUCAAUCUGCUCUGUGCUUACUGAGUGCUCUUGGUAGGAUGUGUUUAAAAAUCUAGGGAUUCAUGUUUUGAGGGAGGGAAAAAGACAGGGAGAGAUAUUGCACAAAUGCCAAAUAGAACACAACAUCACCAUGGACAGUUAGGGACAGAUUCUGCCUUUCCAGCUACAGCUGUGGGGUAGGAAUGGAGGAGAGGAGAAGCUCAGUGGCAGCAGACCUUAAUCAGGGGCACUCUUCAAGUCUGGGGCUCUAAGAAAUCUGUGAAAGUAAGAGCUCUCCCAGGCAUUGAAAACCCCAUUGUUAAUGCUCUGUAACCCUGAGCUGGCAGUCACCAGCCUCUCAGAUACAGCCUGGUUGUGCUUCAGAAUCUCCUCUAGGUAGGUGUAUAACUCGUGCUCCACAGCACAAUGACCUC